CUGGCCAUAUUAUUUGAGGCUCUCCAAGACCAAGAGGUGUUUUGUCAUCUGAGAAUCCAGAAGACAUUGAGGUAGCCAGCUCAGUCAUCCACUUUUGAUCUAGUGAACCAAGGGAAGAGAACUGAUAGGCAAGAGGAGAAUUUUUAAACUCCUUUCCAAAGGUGCAUUCCUGGAGAACACUCCGUAGCUUCAUAUGUCCCCACCUUUUCAGGUUGGCACCAGUAUGAUAUCCAGGAACAGAUGCUAUUAACCUAACUGCUGCAUUGCUAUAAUCAAACUUUUUGAAAAAGGUUGGGUUGAUAGUGAAGUUCCCAAGGGCUGGUAACUUAACGGUGAAUUCUGGCCACUUUAAUGCAUUGAGAUAAUCAACCAAGUCAUUUUCAAAUCCACAUCCUUUGCUUUGAUUCUGUUUAUCCUUCCAGGGGAAAUCUUGCAUCCACAAACCUUGGCUUUUGUUGUUCCAGUCAACAUAUAUUAAGUUUGCUGUAUGUAUAAUAAUUCUCACCCCUCGAGGAUAGACUAGAAGCAUGGCCUUUGAAUGGUGUGUCCCAAAUGAAAUGGGUAGUGGGGGUUUAUGCAGAAUCCAACUUGCAGGCUUGCUUCUCUUCAUAUGUUCAACUGUACCGUCACCCUCUCCAUGAAUAACCAAGACAUGACGAAUUUUCGCAAGUGUAGGGCAUGCAGACAUCAACCAAUCAACGUCCACCAUGUAGUUUGAAAGGAUAGCAACAAGAAUAUCCCCCUGAAUCACAUCGGUUAUAGAAACGCAAGAGGUAUUUGCCCAAGCUGGCAGCCCUUGCACUUUCAAAAGCCGGAAGGUCAAUGGCAAAUUAUCAUUAGGAACACGAAAUUUACGAAUGUCCUUUUCACAAAUUACUGGUCCACUAUUCUCUGCCUCAUUCUUAUUAGCAGCUUUGGCUUGAUCUUCAGGUGCUUCUCGCAUCUUCUUUAAGCAAGGUUGGUCGCAUUUGACAAUUCCUUCACCGUCAUUGCAAUGCCUCUUCGACGUGUUAAGAGAAGAAGAGUUGCUGCUACUAUUCGAAGGCGACGAAGCCACGUACUUGAAGAAAUGGCGGCCAGGUAUCAACUCUAUAAUAUCACCG
rnacentral:misc_RNA from 1 species